GUGGCCUAGUGGUUAGAGCGUCCGUCUCGGAUGCGGGAGGUCGUGAGUUUGAUCCCCGGUCUAUUCA